rnacentral:rRNA from 1 species
UACAGAGGUCCCAAGCGUUGUUCGGAUUCAUUGGGCGUAAAGGGUGCGUAGGCGGCGCGGUAAGUCGGGUGUGAAAUCUCGGGGCUUAACUCCGAAACUGCAUUCGAUACUGCCGUGCUUGAGGACUGGAGAGGAGACUGGAAUUUACGGUGUAGCGGUGAAAUGCGUAGAUAUCGUAAGGAAGACCAGUGGCGAAGGCGGGUCUCUGGCCUGCAACUGACGCUGAGGUGCGAAAGCGUGGGGAGCGAACGGG